rnacentral:tRNA from 1 species
GCCUCCAUGGCCCAGUGGCAGGGCGUGUCACUCGUACAUAGAAAGAAGAGAAUCAUCUUCCUCCUCCAGUACACUCAUCCUCCUCCGCUCUCCACAGUGAGCAGCCGGAACUGGUGAUGACAAGAUCGGGUGUUCGAUCCACCCUGGAGGCA